rnacentral:rRNA from 1 species
UGGGGAAUUUUGGACAAUGGGCGAAAGCCUGAUCCAGCAAUGCCGCGUGUGUGAAGAAGGCCUUCGGGUUGUAAAGCACUUUUGUCCGGAAAGAAAUCCUUGGCUCUAAUACAGUCGGGGGAUGACGGUACCGGAAGAAUAAGCACCGGCUAACUACGUGCCAGCAGCCGCGGUAAUACGUAGGGUGCAAGCGUUAAUCGGAAUUACUGGGCGUAAAGCGUGCGCAGGCGGUUUGCUAAGACCGAUGUGAAAUCCCCGGGCUCAACCUGGGAACUGCAUUGGUGACUGGCAGGCUAGAGUAUGGCAGAGGGGGGUAGAAUUCCACGUGUAGCAGUGAAAUGCGUAGAGAUGUGGAGGAAUACCGAUGGCGAAGGCAGCCCCCUGGGUCAAUACUGACGCUCAUGCACGAAAGCGUGGGGAGCAAACAGGAUUAGAUACCCUGGUAGUCCACGCCCUAAACGAUGUCAACUAGUUGUUGGGGAUUCAUUUCCUAGUAACGUAGCUAACGCGUGAAGUUGACCGCCUGGGGAGUACGGUCGCAAGAUUAAAACUCAAAUGAAUUGACGGGGU